UACGUAGGGGGCGAGCGUUGUCCGGAUUUAUUGGGCGUAAAGAGCUCGUAGGCGGUUCAACAAGUCGGUCGUGAAAGUUCAGGGCUCAACCCUGAAAUGUCGAUCGAUACUGUUGUGACUAGGAUACGGUAGAGGUGAGUGGAAUUCCGAGUGUAGCGGUGAAAUGCGUAGAUAUUCGGAGGAACACCAAUUGCGAAGGCAGCUCACUGGGCCGCUAUCGACGCUGAGGAGCGAAAGCUAGGGGAGCAAACAGGAUUAGAUACCCUGGUAGUCCUAGCUGUAAACGAUGGAUACUGGACGUAGGAACUGGAUUGACGGUUUCUGUGUCGUAGCUAACGCGUUAAGUAUCCCGCCUGGGGAGUACGGUCGCAAGACUAAAACUCAAAGGAAUUGACGGGACCCCGCACAAGCGGCGGAGCAUGCGGCUUAAUUCGAUGAUACCCGUAGAACCUUACCUGGACUUGACAUAUAGGGUCUAGCUAUAGAGAUAUAGUGUGCAUUAGCGCCCUAUACAGGUGGUGCAUGGCUGUCGUCAGCUCGUGUCGUGAGAUGUUGGGUUAAGUCCCGCAACGAGCGCAACCCCUAUCCUAUGUUGCCAGCAUUUAGUUGGGGACUCAUAGGAGACUGCCGGUGAUAAACCGGAGGAAGGUGGGGGCGACGUCAAGUCAUCAUGCCCCUUAUGUCCAGGGCUGCACGCAUGCUACAAUGGCAAGUACAACGAGUCGCAAUACCGCGAGGUGGAGCAAAUCUCUUAAAGCUUGUCUCAGUUCGGAUAGGAGUCUGCAACUCGACUCCUUGAAGUUGGAGUCGCUAGUAAUCGCAAAUCAGCAAAGUUGCGGUGAAUACGUUCUCGGGGUU
rnacentral:rRNA from 1 species